rnacentral:rRNA from 1 species
UACGUAGGGGGCAAGCGUUGUCCGGAUUUAUUGGGCGUAAAGAGCGUGUAGGCGGCUAGGUAGGUCCGUUGUGAAAACUCGAGGCUCAACCUCGAGACGCCGAUGGAAACCAUCUAGCUAGAGUCCGGAAGAGGAGAGUGGAAUUCCUGGUGUAGCGGUGAAAUGCGCAGAUAUCAGGAGGAACACCAAUGGCGAAGGCAGCUCGCUGGGACGGUACUGACGCUGAGACGCGAAAGCGUGGGGAGCAAACAGG